rnacentral:rRNA from 1 species
AUUGAACGCUGGCGGCAGGCCUAACACAUGCAAGUCGAACGAGUGGCGGACGGGUGAGUAAUGUCUGAGAAACUGCCUGAUGGAGGGGGAUAACUACUGGAAACGGUAGCUAAUACCGCAUACCAUCGUAUGUGCCCAGAUGGGAUAAGCUAGUUGGUGGGGUAAAGGCUCACCUAGGCGACGAUCCCUAGCUGGUCUGAGAGGCUGACCACCAAAACUGGAACUGGGACACGGUCCAGAAUCCUCCGGGAGGUAGAAGUGGGGAAGAUUGCACAAUGGGCGCAAGCCGGCUGCAGCCAUGCCGCGUGGGUGAAGAAGGCAUUCGGGUUGUAAAGCACUUUAAGCGAGGAGGCGGUACUCGCAGAAGAAGCACCGGCUAACUCCGUGCCAGCAGCCGCGGUAAUAC